CAGAUUUAUUCUAAGAAUUGUGAAAUUGAGACUUUUUUCUUUUUUUGUCUUGAGGUGUUAAGAGCUUCCUCUAAUGAGUUUCUUUUUUAUCAAUCAUCCCAUUAUGCGAUUCGUGACCCGAGGCCAUAACAACUUGGUAUCAGAACCUAUUGUCACGGGUGUUUCAACAAAUCUAGAAGAUAAGUUGAAUUCUUUCAUGCAACAAUUUGAUGGACUGAUAAUGCUGAGAUUCGACGGAGCAUCCAGAUGAGGACACUAAGCAGAGGUCUAAUUCGCUGGGUUGAUUAUCCAUCUGUGAUCGGUCCGUUGAAUCCCUCCAUGCUUGGCUUUAAGGAAGGGGACCUAGAAGAUGAAGAACACGGUCAGGAGUCCACCGAGGAAGUUUCUAGUGGAAACCCUUUAACGCUCAAGUCAAAUCUGGGAACUUAGUGAAGUUAAGGGAAGUAAAAUAGAGAAGAGAAGAGAAUAAUGAUUUUGGAUUCUCUCUGUGUGACGACGAGAGAGAGAGAGAGAAAGAGGUCCUUUCCUAGAGAAGGAGAGAUCCUUUUUUAGGGUUAGUUUGGUGUAUAAACACCUCUGAAUAAAGUUGAUGUCCUUGUUGUUGUGUCCGCUCUGACGGGGCAAGGAUGCUUUUGUACAAGUGUAUCAGACAGUACAUUAAUGAUGAGCUAUAGGACAAUAAAUGCAGAACUGGCCGGUUUGUACCCUAUGCAUGCGCACUUAUGAUCCAUGCAUUGUACUAAGGAAGCGACCAGCUUGUAAGAGGUUAGCAUCUUUGCCCUGACUUUAUCAGGUUGUGCCUGAUUCAUCCGACCUACAUAGAAAUGAACUCCUUCACUGAGGUCGGCCACAUCGGCAUUCAAAGCCUUGUUGUAGUACACGCUUUUGAGGAGGCCUGUCCGUCCUCUCCGGUCUUUGAGGAGGUCGGUCUGUUCGUUUCGGGCUUUGGUAAACUCAAGGGUGUUGCUAGUCUGAUUCUUUGUACUCGGUAGGUCGGGCUUAUUACUGCCCGGUCCGACCAGAUUGAAAGGCUUUCCAUUCACGUGUACACGUGUCACGAUCUUGAGGGGUCUUAUUUUUUAUACGUUAUCAAUUGCUUUUUCACUUCUCCGAUGGUUAUUUAUGACCAUCGGAGAAGGGAAUCUGACCUGCUAAUUCGACACCAACUGUUCAUUUGGUAGACACUUAUGAAUUUCGAAAGGAAGUGCUAUUAAUGGAGUUGGUUAACUUAACAUAGACCGAACCAAGAGAGCAAAUUCUAUCUUGAUAAUCUUUCCUUUGGGAGAUCUGAUCUUAGUGGUCUUCUUCAUGAAAAGUGACUUUGGUAGUUUUUUCUUUUGAAGAGUCGAAUUUGGGUGCUCUACCCUUCCAGUCUUGCCUUUCCGACCUGACCUUAAAUGGUCUACUUUUUUGGGUCUUCUUCUGAGCAUUUUACUCUGAGACGUCUUCUGGGCUUUAAACCUAGGUCUUUUAAUAAAUGUUUCUGCUGAUUAGUUUCACGAGCAGUUUGGCUCUUUGUUGGGCUCUCUAACCCUGAACAUUCGUCCGAAUUUUUUGGUUUUCUAUAUUAUUCUGGACUCUUUAGCCCUGACUAUUUUUAUGAGCAUUUUAGCUCUUUUCUUGGCUCUUUUGCCUUGAUUUUUUGCCUAAGCUCUUUUGGCUCUCUAUAUGAUACUCCAGCCUUUUUAGCACUAAUUUUUUCUUUCAACUUUUUUGACUUUUCAUAACUUCCAGACAUUUUUGCCCUCAAGCGCUUUCCAAACAAUUUUUGCCCUUAUUCACUUUUCGGGCUAUUUGCCAUCAAAUGUCUUCCGGGCAUUUUUGCUCCUCUGGGCUAUCUGCCCUUAAGCAUUUUGGGGCUCAAAACCCUGAUUCUUCAUUCCGGACUAUUUGCCCUUAAGUGCUUUCCGGGCUAUUUAGCCCUUAUUUUCAACCAAACUUUUUACUCUUAACGAGAUUUCGGGCUUUUUGCCCCAGACCUUAGUCCAAGCAUUUUUGGACUUUUUCUUGUUUCUUAUGGGGGCAUGCUCAGCCCUGUCAUUUAUAUGAAAU
rnacentral:lncRNA from 1 species